rnacentral:tRNA from 1 species
AAGACUUGUGAGAUACUAACCCACAUCUAAUGAAUGCAACUCAAACACUUUAAUUAAGCUAAAGCCUU